rnacentral:rRNA from 1 species
UACGGAGGGUGCAAGCGUUAUUCGGAAUCACUGGGCUUACAGGGUGCGUAGGCGGCCAGCCAGGUCCGAUGUGAAAUCCCACAGCUCAACUGUGGAAUGGCAUUGGAAACCGGUUGGCUCGACUGAGCUAGAGGUACACGGAACUUCCGGUGGAGCGGUGAAAUGUGUUGAGAUCGGAAGGAACACCAGAGGCGAAGGCGGUGCACUGGGGCUUGUCUGACGCUGAGGCACGAAAGCCAGGGGAGCGAACGGG